AAUAGAUACCCUGGUAGUCCACGCCCUAAACGAUGUUCACUAGGUGUCGGGGGGUAACCUUCGGUGCCGCAGCUAACGCAUUAAGUGAACCGCCUGGGGACUACGGCCGCAAGGUUGAAACUCAAAGGAAUUGGCGGGGGACCGCACAAGCGGUGGAGCAUGUGGCUUAAUUCGAUGCAACGCGAAGAACCUUACCAGGGCUUGACAUGUAUCUGCAAGCGAUAGAAAUAUCGUCGCCUUCGAGGGUGAUACACAGGUGGUGCAUGGCUGUCGUCAGCUCGUGUUGUGAAAUGUUGGGUUAAGUCCCGCAACGAGCGCAACCCUCAUUGUCUGUUGCCAGCGAGUAAUGUCGGGAACUCGGACAAAACUGCCUCUGUAAGGAGGAGGAAGGUGGGGAUGACGUCAAGUCAUCAUGCCCCUUACGCCCUGGGCUGCACACAUGCUACAAUGGCCGGUACAAAGGGUUGCUAACCUGCGAAGGUAUGCUAAUCUCAAAAACCCGGUCUCAGUUCGGAUUGGGGUCUGCAACUCCG
rnacentral:rRNA from 1 species